CCCCUCUCAUCGGUGCACGCCGCGUCUCCAUGAGAUCGGUCGAACGACGAAAGCAAGUUCACGAAAGAUAAUUCAGAUAAUUGGAUCUGCUCUGAUUAUCCUCAUCGGCCGCUGGAGAUCAGGUCAUCCUCGUUGAGUAGAUGCUCUCAGGGAUAUCAUACACCACAGAGUCACUCGUGAGGAAGAGCCAUGUGUCGUGGAUCUCAGAGACACCGAUUACUUCCACUUCGGUUUCUUGGACCUGCCCCACAGCAAUCUGCAAGUUUACAAAAAAAUUAAUAAAUAAUAUGAGCACUGGAAGUUUCUAGUGUUAGACUGCAUCCCUAUUCACUUGAUUAUACUACGCCCAAAAAGUACGUACACUUAAGAGUACAUACUUUAGAGUGUGUAGUAAAAGAGCUGCCAAAGUUUGAGACCUACUACUUUGUCAUAAUUGCAACUAUUAGUUAUGUGCACCUUGUUAUCAUUUAAAGUGUGUAAUACAGAUCAGAAACACAGUGAGUCAAUGUUUAGAUAAAUUAGGUAGAUUUUCAUAAAAGCAUACUCAUGAAUAUGCUGCUGAGUCUUCUGGAGUCUAACUUGCUUUAUCUCAUCACAGUUAAUAUCCUCCACAUUAAAUAUUAGUGUUAGAGUGUGCUGUAUCUGGACUUUGGGUACUUUUGUAAUACUUCUGUCAUCAUACUACAGUUUGGGACGCACUCAUUCUGAUUCUGAAUAUUAUUUCAUGUUUCAGUUUGAUUAUCAUGUCAAGUCAACGAUUAGAUUCAGUUCAAUUUAAUAAUGCAUCAUGAUUACAUCAAAUUUAUUUUGUGCAUUUUUAUAAAAUUAUAUAAGCAGGCUACUUUUCAAAGUAAUUACUUCAAUUAAUUAAUUAAUUAUUGUAAAGUAUCAAUCAAAAUAAAUACAGCUUGAUUUCUUGUUCAUAACUGGCUUUUCUUCAUGUGAUAACUGCCAUUUCCAGUUCCAGCUCCUGUAUGUUUUAUGGACACAGUGGAUGGAUUAGUUGUUCAUUACGUACCAUCACAGAGGUGUAUGUGGAGGACUGAACUUUUCCCGGCUGUCGUUGAGGAUGCAGGGAUGAAGAUGGGUAAUGACCACAUCCUCUCCUUCAUACAGGUCCCACAGUGCCUGAUCCCUCCACAACGAUACCUAAAAAACCUUUUGACCACACUUCAGGUGAAGAUCCAGGACGGGAACAUGAGUGUUUCAUCCUCACCCCACACAGCUAGAAGAUUGAAAGUGGAGUGGAGCAUUUCACCGUCCUGUUCCUGAAUGUUUCUUUUAUUAGAUUCACCCAAUUUAGGUUAAUUCAUCCUUGAUUGGGGAACACAUUCAUUAUUAACUUAUUGCUUAUUAGCAUGCAUAUUACUAGUAUAUUGACAGUUUAUUGGUUCUUACAAAGCACAUAUUAAUACUUUAUUCUGUAUCUAACCAUAUUCUGGUACCCCACAUUUGAACAUAACCACUACAAUGACCAUACUAUCAGUAAGCAACAAGAAACAGUUUUUUGGGGAAAACUCCAAGUUAAUAUUGAAUGUGUUCAAUAAUCAGAAUCAGAAAGAGCUUUAUUGCCAAGUAUGCUUGCGCAUACAAGGAAU